AUGUGCAUCAUCCAAGUUAUUCACCACUGCCUGAGAACAAGUAACAGUUUGAAAGCAUCUAAGUUCCUGGCUAAAAUCUGGUAGGCCAAUAGUAUGAUGCAAAAUUCUGUUCGUACCAUAGUCAUUCGAAUUCGGUCCACCAACAAUACAAAUCACAGGCAAAUUCUCACUGUAUGCCCCAGCAAUAGCAUUAAGCACACUUAGUCCCCCUACAGUGAACGUCACUACACAUGCCCCCACCCCUUUCGCACGUGCGUACCCGUCGGCGGCGUACCCAGCGUUUAGUUCGUUACAGCAGCCGAUCAAAUUUAGCUCCGGCUCGGCAAUCAGAUGAUCGAGCAACGUCAAGUUGAAGUCGCCGGGAACCGAAAACACAUCCUUCACACCGAUUUGUACUAGCCGACGAGCCAAGUGCCGACCCAGAGUUCCAGCUCCACACGGAGAGCUCGCUGGAACUGAAGCUGACUGAGCCGUGGAACCGAUGGCAUUGUUACCUUCCAUUUCUGAAUCAAUUUUCUGCUACAAAAUCACCAAAAGACAAAAUUAUUCAGAAAUGGAAG
rnacentral:misc_RNA from 1 species